UACGUAGGGGGCAAGCGUUGUCCGGAUUUAUUGGGCGUAAAGAGCGUGUAGGCGGCCAGGUAGGUCCGUUGUGAAAACUCGAGGCUCAACCUCGAGACGUCGGCGGAAACCCUCUGGCUAGAGUCCGGAAGAGGAGAGUGGAAUUCCCGGUGUAGCGGUGAAAUGCGCAGAUAUCGGGAGGAACACCAGUAGCGAAGGCGGCUCGCUGGGCCAUUCCUGACGCUGAGACGCGAAAGCUAGGGGAGCGAACAGG
rnacentral:rRNA from 1 species